rnacentral:lncRNA from 10 species
AACUUUCCUCGGAGUGCUGCCUGGCGCUGGCUAGGAGGCAAACGCACGCGGGAAGAGCUGCUACCCAUUCCAGGGACCCUGCCGCUGCCCCUCUGAGGGGUCUGCACCUCCUGGGAGCAGGUGGGUCUCUGGGACGAGGGUCCAUGGUGGAUGGCUCUGGAGACGCUCCCGAGGCUGUGCCGUCCCGCUGCUGCACAGGUCGGAGGGUCACCGCAGAGGCUACUCGGGCUGGGGCUGGGGCCGAGGGAGCCCGCACUGGAGGGUCUCGCUCUGUUGCCCAGUGGCCUGACCAUGGCUCACUGCAGCCUCCAACUACUGGCCUCAAGUGAUCCUCUUGCCUUGGCCUCCUGAAGUCCUGGAAUUACAGGCGUGAGCCACUGCACCGGGCCCAUUUAAUACUCUGAGCCCCACCUUUCCCAUCUGUGGAUGGAGCCCCAUGUGGAACCCAAGGAUGCAGCUGCUCUGCUAACACGGCAGCCCAUCCUUCAAGACUGUGACCUCGCCACAGUGGCCCUCAGCCCUCCACCUCCGGCGGGGGCGAGGGCCACCCACCUCCAAGUCUCCAGCCAUGACGACCUCCGCACUCCGGCGCCAGGUGAAGAA